rnacentral:tRNA from 1 species
GCCUGGGUGGCUCAAUCAGCUGAGCAUCUGACUUCAGCUCAGGUCAUGAUAUCACAGUUUGUGAGUUCGAGCCUGACAUCAGGCU